UCCAUCCACAAAAAUUAUUUCUCCAAUUUCGAAGGGUGUUUCCUGUAGGUCUACUCUAGGCUUUACAACCUUUGCUAUUUCAUCAUGACAAUUAUUACAUUCUGAUAGUGUAUUGCCCUAGCAAUGGUGAGAUGCGAGGUUUUAGCCUGUAUUAAUAUGGAAUGUACAGCAUGAGGUACUUGUACUGUAAGGGGGCUCAUGAGAACUACAUCCGUGCUUGCUAAUACAGCUUCUGUUGUUGCAGCCACAGCACGAAGGCACGGAGGAAGCGCUGCGGCUACUGGAU